AAUAUUGCACAAUGGGCGCAAGCCUGAUGCAGCCAUGCCGCGUGUGUGAAGAAGGCCUUCGGGUUGUAAAGCACUUUCAGUCGUGAGGAAGGUAGUGUAGUUAAUAGCUGCAUUAUUUGACGUUAGCGACAGAAGAAGCACCGGCUAACUCCGUGCCAGCAGCCGCGGUAAUACGGAGGGUGCGAGCGUUAAUCGGAAUUACUGGGCGUAAAGCGCAUGCAGGUGGUUUGUUAAGUCAGAUGUGAAAGCCCGGGGCUCAACCUCGGAAUAGCAUUUGAAACUGGCAGACUAGAGUACUGUAGAGGGGGGUAGAAUUUCAGGUGUAGCGGUGAAAUGCGUAGAGAUCUGAAGGAAUACCGGUGGCGAAGGCGGCCCCCUGGACAGAUACUGACACUCAGAUGCGAAAGCGUGGGGAGCAAACAGGAUUAGAUACCCUGGUAGUCCACGCCGUAAACGAUGUCUACUUGGAGGUUGUGGCCUUGAGCCGUGGCUUUCGGAGCUAACGCGUUAAGUAGACCGCCUGGGGAGUACGGUCGCAAGAUUAAAACUCAAAUGAAUUGACGGGGGCCCGCACAAGCGGUGGAGCAUGUGGUUUAAUUCGAUGCAACGCGAAGAACCUUACCUACUCUUGACAUCCAGAGAACUUUCCAGAGAUGGAUUGGUGCCUUCGGGAACUCUGAGACAG
rnacentral:rRNA from 1 species